rnacentral:lncRNA from 1 species
AUUUUCAUCAUAGAGUGGUGAUGGCGAGAGCGAGUGUGAAGGAGGCACCAAAGUUUGCCGUGACUAGAUCAAUGGAUGCCUUUCUGAAAUUGAAUGAUGUUUUAAACCAUACCCCGAUACACCCCUAGCAGAUGUCACUCAGCGCAGCAGCAAACGCCACGCCCGCCCCACCUGGUGUGAUGUAUGUGAUGGUACCAUCUUGUUAUCAUCAUCAAUGGGAAGUUUGCAAUCUGAUUAUAAGCAUGAAUGUUUGUUUGUCUAUUCUCAGUAAACGUUUUUGGCAGAAUUUGCUAGUAAAGGUGCCACUGAAUCUGAUAAACAUGACGUUCAUAUGCUCCAGUUCAGUUCAAUCUGCCCAUGCUCACCGGGUAUAAUUAGAGUCUUGUUUCCUAAUGCCUUUGCUCUCUGAAUUCGCCCCCCCCCCCUUAAUGGUUACUCUCAAUUCUUGCGUGGAAAGGACCAUAGUGGAUUGGAUAAUUGUCUCUUCUUUGGCUACAGUUUGUGUGCUUCAGAAUGCCAAUCUCUUCAAAUGUUAUGUGCAUUUGUUGCUGGAGGUUGUCCCAUAAACAAGUGUAGGGAUCUAUAUCUUUCUUGGCGUUGAUCCAUGGAAGCUAUGAAAUUCUGGUUGUUCUAAGUUUAACUGGAUUUGCAGUAUCAUGUGAUGUUUUCUUUACUGACUCCUGUGUUUGUGAGUUUUGUACUCCAAAUGGAAUGGGAAGAAUAUGUAUCUGCACUCUCUUAAAGGAUUAAUAAACUUUUAGACUUGCCACUGUAGUUCUGAAUUCUUUCCCCCCCUUUUAAUGAUUACUCUCAAUUCUUGCGUGGAAAGGACCAUAGUAGAUUGGAUAACUGUCUCUUCUUUGGCUACAGUUUGUGUGAUUCUGAAUGCCAAUCUCUUCAAAUGUUCUAUGCAUUUGUUGCUGGAGGUUGUUCCAUAAACAAGUGUAGGGAUCUAUAUCUUUCUUGGCGUUGAUCCAUGGAAGCUAUGAAAUUCUGGCUGUUCUAAGUUUAACUGGAUUUGCAGUAUCAUGUGAUGUUUUCUUUACUGACUCGUGUGUUUGUGAGUUUUGUACUCCAAAUGGAAUGGGAAGAAUAUGUAUCUGCACUCUGUUAAAGGAUUAAUAAACUUUUAGACUUGCCACUGUAGUUUAAAUAUAAUUUUGAAUCUGAGAUAGGUGCAGCAAACUGAAUCAGUGUGACUGUGUCUUGUCAUAGCCAUAGCAUCUUAUAUAAUACUUUCAAAUAAUGGUUACUCUUCUGCACCAAAUUUUGUCCAGCCUUCAGCAUGGGUUGUUCAUUGUCUCGACUUAGGUGCAUCAUUUUCUCAGGAUAUUAUCUUAUCAACUUGUUUGCAUGCAUAUUAUCCAUGUUCCCCACCAGGCCAUCAUAUCAUGUCAAGUCGUUCCGCCAUGCCCGCGUCCGUCAUGCCCACGAUGCAGCCAUGGUGGUAUGACCGGUUGCAGCCCAAUGUCACGGUGGGGAGGGAGGUCAGGGUGGUCCAAGCUCCGGCGAAGGUUGAUGAGGAAGAGGAGAGGUACGCGAGUUGCGGUGGUGGGGGGCUCGAGCCUGGAGGCAGUGUCGGGAGGUUGAGGAGAAAUAUGCAUUCCAUAGUGUGUGAGUGCAACAUGCUCGCUGGAAUGCCACACAAAUGGGUGCCAUUGGUAUCCAUGCUUGGGUCAAUUUGGUGGUCAACUCCAGCGGUGCCACUGUGUCGUGCUCUGCCUCAUCAUAUGUGGUGAUCUCAAGUGUGUUUUUAUUCUGAGAUAUAAGUUUUGUGUUUGCUGAGUCUGCUUCUGUAGGAGCACGAGGGACAUCGGUGCGACGCGCUGCGGCAUGGUUGCGGGAGGAGCUGCGGUGCAAGACAUGGAUUUGGG